rnacentral:lncRNA from 1 species
AUGCAUCAUCUUUAUCAAGUUCACCCCUCUAAGGUUGAGAGAACCUCUCAGAAGGAGUAGAGAGAAUUUAGGAGCAGGAGGCUAUGGAUGAGAGCAAGAAAAUGCUGAUUUCUGGAUGUUGCAAGCAUCAAUUCACAGCAGCUAUGGUUUUGUACAAAAGACUUGCACAAGAUCUAGCAGUCAAAAUUCCCAAAUGGAUGAGAGAAGGGCCCCAAAGCUGCACCAAUCCAAGACAAUGUGUUGAAAGUUAAUUGGGAGAGGCAAUUUCCUUUUGGAAAUGUGUGGCCUUUCGUAAUUUGCUAUGUCACACAUAGUGGACGGGCACACAUCCAGGCCCAUGUGGGAAGCAUUAGUUAGACUCUAUAUAACAACAACAAGAACAAAAAUAGAGGACAUGAAAUUGGAAUCAAGCUUGGCACUAUUUGUAAUACCCAGAACCUGAAAGCAACCUAGAUGCCCCUCAACUGAAGAUUGGAUGGAGAAAAUAUGUUAUAUUUUCACAAUGGAGUACUACUCAGUGGAAAACAAUGGAAUCUUGAAAUUUGCAGGCAAAUGGAUGGAACCAGAAUAAACCAUUCAGAGUGAGGUAUCCCAGUCACAAAAAGACAAACAUGCCUUCAUCCAGCAGCUGGUGGAAGUAGAAGCAGACACCCAUAGCUAAACACUGAACUGAACUUGAAUCCAGUUGCAGAGAAGAGGAGUGAUGAGCAAAGGGGUCCAGACCAGGCUGGUGAAACCCACAGAAACAGCUGACCUGAACAUCUGGGAACUCUUGCUCUCCAGACUGAUAGCUGGAACACCAAGCACUGAUCCAGAACUCAGAAAUAUGGGUUUCUGUGAGGAGACCUCAGAAAUCUAUGGGACCUCCUGUAGAAGUUCAGUACUUACCCUAGAAAAGGUGUGGACUUUGGGAGCCCAUUCCAUAUAGAGGAAUACUCCCUGAGCCAAGACACAUGGGGCUGGCCCUAGGCCCUAUCCCAAAGGAUACAAUAGACACUGAUGACACCCUAUGAAAGGCCUCACCAUCCAGGGGGAGCAGAAAGGAUACAUGAUAGAUAGGGUUUUAGUUGGGGGCAGGAGGUAGGGG